CCCUUAGAUGUCCUGGGCCGCACGCGCGCUACACUGAUGCAUGCAACGAGUUUAUAACCUUGGCCUGAAAGGUCUGGGUAAUCUUUUGAACGUGCAUCGUGAUAGGGAUAGAUUAUUGCAAUUGUUAAUCUUGAACGAGGAAUUCCUAGUAAACGCGAGUCAUCAGCUCGCAUUGAUUACGUCCCUGCCCUUUGUACACACCGCCCGUCGCACCUACCGAUUGAAUGGUUCGGUGAAGAUCUCGGACUUCGAUAUUUAUUCUUUAUUGAAUUUAUAUUGUGGGAAGUUAUCUAAACCUCAUCAUUUAGAGGAAGGUGAAGUCGUAACA
rnacentral:rRNA from 1 species